rfam:Actinomyces sp. oral taxon 848 str. F0332 genomic scaffold Scfld0, whole genome shotgun sequence.
UGUUGGGUGUGUGCAGGGCGUUCGGUGGAUGCCUGGGCAUCAAGGGCCGAAGAAGGACGUGGCAGUCUGCGAUAAGCCUCGGGGAGUUGGCAAGCGAGCGGUGAUCCGGGGGUGUCCGAAUGGGGGAACCUGGCCGGGGUUGUGCCUGGUCGCCCGUGUGUGAAGUUCAUAGCGCGCGGGUGGGAACGCGGGGAAGUGAAACAUCUUAGUACCUGCUGGAGAAGAUAUUCCGUUAGUAGUGGCGAGCGAAGGCGGAGGAGCCUAAACCGUGUGCGUGUAUCAGCCGCCGGGCGGUGCGUGUGCGGUGUUGUGGGCAUGCUUGUGGCCGUGCCGGUGUGCGGCCGGGCAGUGAGAAACCGUCGGGGUAGGCGAAGGGUCUGGGAAGGCCCGCCGGAGUGGGUGAGAGCCCCGUAGCCGAAAUCGCGGCGGCUGUCUGAGUGUGUUCCUGAGUAGCACGGGGCUCGUGGAAUCUCGUGUGAAGGUGGCAAGACCACUUGUCAAGGCUGAAUACCCUUGGUGACCGAUAGUGGAUGAGUACCGUGAGGGAAAGGUGAAAAGUACCCCGGGAGGGGAGUGAAAGAGUGCCUGAAACCGGGCGCCUGCAAUCCGUCAGAGCCCUUUGUUGUGGGGGUGAUGGCGUGCCUUUUGAAGAAUGAGCCUGCGAGUUAGGGGCGUGUGGCGAGGUUAACCCGUGUGGGGCAGCCGUAGCGAAAGCGAGUCUGAAAUAUGGCGGUCAGUCGUGCGUUCUAGACCCGAAGCGGGGUGAUCUACCCAUGUCCAGGGUGAAGCGCGUGUAAGAGCGUGUGGAGGCCCGGACCCACCGGGGUUGAAAACCCGGGGGAUGAGGUGUGGGUAGGGGUGAAAGGCCAAUCAAACUCCGUGAUAGCUGGUUCUCCCCGAAAUGCAUUUAGGUGCAGCGUUGCGUGGUUCUUUGCGGAGGUAGAGCGACUGGAUGGCUGAUGGGCCCCACCGGGUUACUGAGGUCAGCCAAACUCCGAAUGCCGCAAAGUGUGAGCGUGGCAGUGAGACGGCGGGGGAUAAGCUUCGUCGUCGAGAGGGAAACAGCCCGGAUCGUCGGUUAAGGCCCCUAAGGGUGUGCUAAGUGGGAAAGGAUGUGUCGUUGCUGUGACAGCCAGGAGGUUGGCUUAGAAGCAGCCAUCCUUGAAAGAGUGCGUAAUAGCUCACUGGUCAAGUGGUGAUGCGCCGACAAUGUAGCGGGGCUUAAGCACACCGCCGAAGCCGCGGCGCCCUCCGUGUGGGGGGUGGGUAGGGGAGCGUCCUGCGUGGGGGGAAGCCGUCGUGUGAGCGUCGGUGGACUGCGUGGGAGUGAGAAUGCAGGCAUGAGUAACGAGUGGCGGGUGAGAAUCCCGUCCGCCGAUUGACUAAGGGUUCCAGGGCCAGGUUGAUCCGCCCUGGGUUAGUCGGGUCCUAAGGCGAGGCCGUCAGGCGUAGUCGAUGGGCAACGGGUUGACAUUCCCGUACCGGACGGCGGCCGUCCGAUGUCUGCUGGGUGGGGCGUUGUCGUCCCUGUGCGUCGUUUCUGCGCCUUUCGGGGUGUGGGGGGCGUGCGGGCGCGGGGCGUGCCUGUCUGGUGUGGCAAGCGUGGUAACAGGUGUGACGCAGUGAGGUAGCCUGUCCGUGUCUUAUGGCUUGGCACGGCCAAGGGUGUGGCCCCUCGCCGUGGUAAAUCCCGGCGGUGUGUGGGUGAGGCCUGAUGGGGACCGUUGAUGGGAAGCGGGUGAUCCUGUGCUGCCGAGAAAAGCAUCGACGCGAGGCCGUUGUCCGCCCGUACCCGAAACCGACACAGGUGGUCAGGUAGAGUAUACCGAGGCGUUCGAGUGACUCGUGGUCAAGGAACUCGGCAAAAUGCCCCCGUAACUUCGGGAGAAGGGGGGCCCUGCGCGUGGUCCGUCCGUGCGGCGGGGAGCGUGGCGGGGCCGCAGAGUCCAGGGAGAAGCGACUGUUUAUCAAAAACACAGGUCCGUGCCAAGCCGCAAGGCGAUGUAUACGGACUGACGCCUGCCCGGUGCUGGAAGGUUAAGCGGACCGGUCAGCCCCUCUUUGUGGGGGUGACGCCGGGAAGUUAAGCCCCAGUAAACGGCGGUGGUAACUAUAACCAUCCUAAGGUAGCGAAAUUCCUUGUCGGGUAAGUUCCGACCUGCACGAAUGGCGUAACGACUUCUCCGCUGUCUCGACCACGAACUCGGUGAAAUUGCAGUACGAGUAAAGAUGCUCGUUUCGCGCAGCAGGACGGAAAGACCCCGGGACCUUUACUGCAGCUUGGUAUGGGUGUUCGGCGCGGUUUGUGUAGGAUAGGUGGGAGACGGUGAUCCGCUCGCGCUAGCGGGCGGGGAGUCGCUGGUGAAAUACCACUCUGGCCGUGUUGGGCUCCUAACCUCGGCCCGUGAUCCGGGUCAGGGACAGUGCCUGGUGGGUAGUUUAACUGGGGCGGUUGCCUCCUAAAGGGUAACGGAGGCGCUCAAAGGUCCCCUCAGCCUGGUUGGUCAUCAGGUGGCGAGUGCAAGUGCACAAGGGGGCUUGACUGUGAGACUGACAGGUCGAGCAGGCACGAAAGUGGGAACUAGUGAUCCGGCGGUCGCGUGUGGAAGCGCCGUCGCUCAACGGAUAAAAGGUACCCCGGGGAUAACAGGCUGAUCCUGCCCAAGAGUUCAUAUCGACGGCAUGGUUUGGCACCUCGAUGUCGGCUCGUCGCAUCCUGGGGCUGGAGUAGGUCCCAAGGGUUGGGCUGUUCGCCCAUUAAAGCGGUACGCGAGCUGGGUUCAGAACGUCGUGAGACAGUUCGGUCCCUAUCCGCUGCGCGCGCAGGAGAAUUGAGAAGGGCUGUCCCCAGUACGAGAGGACCGGGACGGACGAACCUCUGGUGUGCCAGUUGUUCCGCCAGGAGCACGGCUGGUUGGCUACGUUCGGGAGGGAUAACCGCUGAAAGCAUCUAAGCGGGAAGCCCGCUUCAAGACGAGUUCUCCACCACCCUCGCGGUGGGAAGGCCCCCCGAAGACGACGGGGUUGAUAGACCGGACGUGGACGCCCCGCAAGGGAGUGAAGCCGACCGGCACUAAUGGGCCGACCAACCCAACACA